rnacentral:rRNA from 1 species
ACGUGCAAGUCGAACGAGAAAGCAUCUUCGGAUGUGAGUAAAGUGGCGGACGGGUGAGUAAUACAUAGGAAUCUACCCAAUGGCGGGGGACAGCUCGAGGAAACUCGAAUUAAUACCGCAUAAUCUCUACGGAGUAAAGAGGGCUUCGGCUCUCACCAUCGGAUGAGCCUAUGCAAGAUUAGCUUGUUGGUAAGGUAAUGGCUUACCAAGGCAACGAUCUUUAGCUGGUUUGAGAGGAUGACCAGCCGCAUCGGGACUGAGACACGGCCCGGACUUCUACGGAAGGCAGCAGUAGGGAAUAUUGGACAAUGAGCGAAAGCUUGAUCCAGCUAUGCCGCGUGUGCGAUGACGGCCCUCGGGUUGUAAAGCACUUUAGGUAACGAGGAAAAGUUAGGUGUUAAUACCACCUAAUCUUGACGUUAAUUACAGAAUAAGCACCGGCUAAAUCCGUGCCAGCAGCCGCGGUAAUACGGAUGGUGCAAGCGUUAAUCGGAAUUACUGGGCGUAAAGCGCGCGUAGGUGGCAUACUAAGUUAGAUGUGAAAUCCCGGGGCUUAACCUCGGAACUGCAUCUAAAACUGGUAAGCUAGAGUACUAGAGAGGAAAGUAGAAUUCUUAGUGUAGCGGUGGAAUGCGUAGAUAUUAAGAGGAAUACCAAUGGCGAAGGCAACUUUCUGGAUAGAUACUGACACUGAGGCGCGAAAGCGUGGGGAGCAAACAGGAUUAGAUACCCUGGUAGUCCACGCCGUAAACGAUGAUAACUAGCCGUUAGAUUUAUUCUAGUGGCGCAGCUAACGCAUUAAGUUAUCCGCCUGGGGAGUA